rnacentral:rRNA from 1 species
UACGAAGGGGGCGAGCGUUGUUCGGAUUUACUGGGCGUAAAGGGCGCGCAGGCGGCGCAUUUUGUCAGGCGUGAAAGCCCCGGGCUUAACCUGGGAACUGCGUUUGAUACGGAUGGGCUAGAGUUCGGGAGAGGAGAGUGGAAUUCCCAGUGUAGAGGUGAAAUUCGUAGAUAUUGGGAAGAACACCGGUGGCGAAGGCGGCUCUCUGGACCGAGACUGACGCUGAGGCGCGAAACGUGGGAGGCAACAGG